rnacentral:misc_RNA from 1 species
GGUUGAGGAUAUGCCACAGAAUCUUUCUCAGGAACAGUCUCCAGUCCAGAAUGACACUGCUACUAUCAAUGAUGACAUUAUGCCAUCUGUGUUAUCUUCUGAGUCGGUGGUUAUAAAGAAUGAGGAUCUAGUUCAAUUAGAUGGGCCUGCAGAGGUCGAGAGAGUUUCAGGUGGAAAAACUGAAUCUGUUGAUUGUCCAAAAGAUGUGAAACAAAGUGAUAUAAACAGAGGCCUUAUUG